UCAGAGCCAGCCCUGCCGGACAGCGUCUAACUGUGUGGAAACAAGAGGGGCCCUGAGCCACCAGCAGCACCCUGGGCCAUUGCUCUCUCAGACGAGUUCCAUGGUGGGGGAGGGCAUGCAGCCUUCACGGCUCCUGCGGUGUCUGCGGCCGCAGAGAGGGCAGGUUUGUCGGGAGAGAAAAGCUGACCUUUAGAGAUGUUAAGUAAUCGGCAAAAGGUCACAGAGCUACUGUUGGGUGGACUGCUCUAACUGCAGUAGUACAUCAUAUUGCAUCCUGGGAACUGAGACAAAAGGACCAAAAGGAGUGGGGUCUGGAGCCUGAGACUGGAUCUGACAUCGUUUGUAUUCUUUCCAAUGGAGCCACCACAGUUUUUUAUGCUUCCUGGCACUAUCCCCAAGGUCUGCUGCUCUUUGAAUUUCCCUCACCCUCCUUAAUAAGUUUUGCAGAAACAUUUUCUGUAAAUCACACUAAUCCCUUGGAAAAUUGCUUCUCAAAAACUCAAAACUAAACCUCUGAAGCCUGG